rnacentral:rRNA from 1 species
UUUAGUUUGAUUUGGGAUAUCCGUUUGCCCCUGAAAAUCAGGAUCUUCUUAUGGCAGUGGAUCCGAGGACACCUCCCGUCUGGGGUGGAAGUCCUUAAGCGUAAUGGACCUGGAGAUGGGAUCUGCCCCCUGUGCGGCACGGUGGAGGAUGCUAACCACAUCUUUUUCUGUUGCUCCACGGCCCAGUUUCUAUGGUCCUGUUUCCGCGAGACGGUCGGUGGCCAAUGGUGCAACACUGAAAGUGCAAGUUAUCGACUAGAGGGGGGUGAAUAG